AAUGGCUUUCUUUGAUUAUAACAAUAACAAUUGUAGUGGCCACUAAUUACAGCCACUAAGAAUCUGGUAAUAAUUACUUUCUUUAUUAAGAUCGAUGGUGUUUGAAUCAGGGGGCAUGUCCUGGCGCGUGCGGCUGUUAAUUGUGAGAAACCAAAGUCUGGGUCAAAGCACCAAUAUGCCGAGUUCAAAUCAACAGAUUAGUUCUAAGUUAGGUGUCAUUUAUCGGAUCCAAGGGAGGUUCGAUUUGAUUGAGGAUCUGUUUGAAUGAUUGAUUGAGGGGAUUAUCAGUUGGUCGCAGCUCCUUCGCUCAUUAGAUAGCGUAGCUUUGCAUCUGAUUUCUAUCGCAUCAAGUAAUCUGUAGCCUGAGGCUGAAUGUUUCUAUCGAUGUUUCGAGCCUGAUUUGAAUCAAUGCUGCAGCAUUCAGGGCAGCCUUUCAUGUGCAUUUUGUUGUUGUUGUUUGACUGCGUAUGAUGUGCAUUUAUAUCGAACCGCUUAAAAUACCAGUGGAAUAGUAUUCCAAUGUUUUAGCUUUCUGGUUGGAACUUGGAACAAUGAUUUUGGUGUUAAUAGCUUGGUUUAUUAUAGGGUAUAUAAUUUUCUUUCUGUAACAGGGAACUGAUAAACACAUCGUUGUGUCGACAACAUAUAUGUCGAUAUUCUAUUCAAUGUUAACGGUCAACCAUACUUAAAAUUUGUACUCCAAACAAAAACUUGUGCUCCUAAUGAUGCAGCGGACGCCAUGCUCUGAGAAAGCGACUUGAAGAGGUAUACAUACAUUUUUAUUGUGGCUAAUGGUCCUUGAAUGAUUUCUUUAGUUUUAUGAGUUACUCUCUGUUGUUUCAACUUGGAUACGAACUUAAAGACGACCAAGUUGAGAGUUUGUUUUGGCAUUUCAAAGUUGUGGCUGAUCAAAAGAAUUGUGGCUGAGCAAAAGUUAACGGGUGAUUUUAUCCUGUUCCAUUUCAUUGACUCAAUCAACAAAUUGGGUUUAUACUUAAACUUUCUCCAUUCAAAUAGUGAUAAUAAUUUCUUUAACCAUCGUUGUCUGAUGUCCGAUAAUGUUCAUUCCCCAAACUUGGCUUACAUUCUAUGGAUUUACCGACUAGAUAUAUCUUUUAUGAUUAAGCUACACAACACACUGUACUUGCAUUACGGUAAAUAAUAUUUGAAAGAUUUCUAUAUUGAAGGAAGCAUGGAUUUCUAAUGCUUAAGUUAGCGACGAGACAUGAAGGUUACAAACAGAAGGAAUCGAUGGAUUCUGCGACUUUCCAGCAUCAGCAGCAGCACCUGAAAUCAACUCUGGUGGUGAUUGUCCUAACUCAUCGUCAUUGAUUUACGGGAACUGUGAAUUGAUUCAGCCUUACAAAGGUCUUCAACCUGAGGUUUUCUUCAAGAUGUCACAUGACGUCUAUAACUAUGGAGAAGGGUAUGAAUCUUAGUAACAUUCCCAAAUUGCUUAUUCUUGAAAAAGUUGGAAGAAAAUAGGCUUAAUUAUAGGCAUAAAUGGAUAUAAUGAUCAAUAAAUUAAUUUCUUGUCAGCAUGGCAUAAUUCAGAAGACUCGGAGAGUAAAAAUAAAACUAAUAUUGUAUCUUGCAUUCUUGUAUGUUUUAUGUUAACAAAGUAAAAAAUGAAAUGAUGCAUACUAUUAAUAUUAUUAUAAUCAUAGU